rnacentral:rRNA from 1 species
AACAGGAUUAGAUACCCUGGUAGUCCACGCCGUAAACGAUGAGUGCUAGGUGUUGGGGGGCUACGCCCCUCAGUGCCGAAGGUAACCCAUUAAGCACUCCGCCUGGGGAGUACGGCCGCAAGGCUGAAACUCAAAGGAAUUGACGGGGGCCCGCACAAGCGGUGGAGCAUGUGGUUUAAUUCGAAGCAACGCGAAGAACCUUACCAGGGCUUGACAUCCCGCUGACCCCUCCAGAGAUGGAGGUUUCCUUCGGGACAGCGGUGACAGGUGGUGCAUGGUUGUCGUCAGCUCGUGUCGUGAGAUGUUGGGUUCAGUCCCGCAACGAGCGCAACCCUUGUCGUUAGUUGCCAGCAUUUCGGAUGGGCACUCUAACGAGACAGCCGGUGAAAGCCGGAGGAAGGUGGGGAUGACGUCAAAUCAUCAUGCCCCUUAUGUCCUGGGCUACACACGUGCUACAAUGGCUGGUACAAAGGGCAGCGAACCCGCGAGGGGGAGCCAAUCCCAAAAAGCCAGUCUCAGUUCGGAUCGCAGGCUGCAACUCGCCUGCGUGAAGCCGGAAUCGCUAGUAAUCGCGGAUCAGCAUGCCGUGGUGAAUACGUUCCCGGGCCUUGUACACACCGCCCGUCACACCACGAGAGUUUGCAACACCCGAAGUCGGUGAGGCAACCUUUUAGGAGCCAGCCGCCGAAGGUGGGGCAGAUGAUUGGGGUGAAGUCGUAACAAGGUAACC